CAGCCCACCAGCUAGCUCACACCAUAAAAUGCAACAACUCACUAUUAAUAACCCCUAAACACCUGAAAUACCCAAAACAAACCAUUUUUCCCCCCAAGUAUGGGCGACAGAAAAGGGCACAAUGAAGCAACAGCGACAGUACCGCAAGGGAACGCUGAAAGAGAAGUGAAACAAAUCAGUAAAGCACAGAAAAGCAGAGGUUAGCCCUCGUACCUUUUGCAUCAUGAUUUAGCAAGAAAAAGUCAAGCAAAAAGCAUUUUAGUUUGACCCCCCGAAACCAAGUGAGCUACUCCAAGACAGCCUUCUAGGGCGCACCCGUCUCUGUGGCAAAAGAGUGGGAAGAGCUUCGAGUAGAGGUGACAGACCUACCGAACUUGGUUAUAGCUGGUUGUCCAGGAAAUGAAUAGAAGUUCAGCCUUUUGUCGUCUUUACCCACACGCCAACCGCACUUCAAGAAUCUAAGAAGACAAGGGAGUUAGUCAAAGGGGGUACAGCCCCUUUGAAAUAGAUACAACUUUCCCAGAAGGGUUAAGAUCAUAUCCCCUAAGGAAACGUGUCGUAGUUGGCCUAAGAGCAGCCACCCAUGCAGAAAGCGUUAAAGCUCAGACACCCCCUCACCCCUAUUAUUCAGACCAAACAAAUCUUAUCCCCCUACAAAUACUGGACCUCCCCAUACCCCUAUGGGAGAGAUAAUGCUAAUAUGAGUAAUAAGAGAUCCUGCAUCUCUCCCCGCACGAGUGUACAUCGGAACGAACCAACACCGAAAAUUAACGGCCCCAAAACAGAGGGAACUGGAAUAUCAUGACCAAGUCACUAGAAAAGCAUCCAUAAUCCGCCCAACCGUUAACCUUACACCAGAGUGCCUAUUAAAGGAAAGACUAAAAGAAGAAGAAGGAACUCGGCA
rnacentral:rRNA from 1 species